GGGUUUAAUAUUUUUCCUAGAACUUUUUUUUUUUUUUUUUUUUUUUUUUUAGAAAAAACCCCCCCCCCCCACAAAAAAAAAAAAAAAAAAAAAAAAAAGAGAAAAUCUACAUUUGAGGCUUAAAGUCAGGGCUGCAAGCCAAUCUUUAAAGCUCAAUCCCCACCUGUAAAAUGGAGGAAAAAGUACUUCAAAUUACAGUAAUGUUAGUGACAGCAAAGGGCCCAGAAAUUAUGGUGCUGAAAGCCAAAUAAUUAUCUCGGUACAGAGGCCAAAAUUUCUAAUAUUUCAGACAUUUUUAACAUAUUUUUUGAAUUUUAGGCAGUGAUUCAGAAGACAUCGCAGCCUAUGAUUCUUAUGAUUCACAACGUGAGGAACUUGUGAAUGGUGAGACUGAAAGUUACAAAACAUUCAAUACAAGAUUACGUGGAGAGAUAAAAGGUACAAUGAUUGCAAAAAUAUUAACAUCUACAUAAAAAUAUUCUUCUUUAUAGUGUUUGUUUUUCUAAACAACACGUCUUUGUUUUCAGGACUUAGAUGCAGAUGUCCUAGAGGAAGCAGAGAUCAAUUUAAACUCAGGAAUUACAAAGAGCCUGUUCAGUCUUGUGCUCUACAUAGAAAUAAACAUUCUGGUUCAACCUCUUAUUCACAGAAGAGAAUCGCCAUUCAAAAGGCUCAAACAAAUAAGCAGCCACGUGAACUUGUAAACAGACUUUCUGAAAGGCAAAACUUUGAGGCUGCCAAAACCUGCUAUUCAAGCACCCAUGAUAAUUUUAUCCUUUCACAUCAAUACUUACCCAGCAAGAAGUGUGCCCGAAGCAAAUCUGCCAUCAGCAUCAGACACAGAAAUGCCAACGAUUCCAAUGCAAAUGUAAGACUUAAGAGUGAAAAAUUAAAAGCCACACAACUAUCUCGGGAGUGUACGUCUGCACAUCAUGGCACUGUUGAACAUCCCCAUUCUUGGCAAGUUGAUUAUUACGAUCUAAGCACACUGGUCCAUUUGAGGAUAAGACAGGACAAAGUUAAAAAAACAAGUGUUUUAGCUUAUAAUAUUAGUAUAUUAAUUUAUAUGAGUACGUUAAAGACUUUUUAUGCAACUUAGUAGCAAGUUGAUUAUUACAAUCUAAGCACACUAGUCCAUUUGAGGAUAAGACAGGAGGAAGUUAAAAAAACAAGUGUUUUAGCUUAUAAUAUUAGUAUAUUAUUUCAUAGUACGUUAAAGACUUUUUAUGCAACUUAGUCCCUGUAUAAAUGGUGAAAGGGACAGAGAAGGAGCCCUGGAUCUUAACUCUGGAAUUAUGUUUCACAUACUGAAACAAAGAAUGUCACCCUAGCCACACAAACCACUAUCGUAUCCAAAAGAAAGCCUCCUCAAUACAACAAACAUACAUCACACUGGAGCUGCUACUUUAGAAAGGUGUAAAUAUCCCUCAGUUCACAGGAUUACAAAAUUAAAGAGAGAAAUAGGUAAGAUUCUUCCAACUUGAAUCCUGGAACAGUAAAUCACAUGGCUCAGAAUUUUUACUUCUCAACGUGUAUUCAGAGUGAAAAUGCUACAUAAAACAUUAAUUAAACAUCCCUUUCUAUUCUAUACCUCUGUGAACAUUUGCCUUCAGUAUUAACAAGGCUAUAUUUUAUUAUUCCCAACAGAUUUUAAGUUCUACUCUGGAUCAUGCCCUACACACAGCGAACAUUUUGAAGAAAGCUACAGAACGAAUGGUACGAGCAGUUUCAGAAGAUCUAGCUAAAGUUAAAAGGAAACAGCUUUAAUUACCCAGUUUCAAAGGUUAUAUUGUUUUGUUGGUUGAUACUGAAGUGUCAUUAUUUCUGAAAAUAUGAAAUGAGAAAAAAAUAUUAGAAAGUCAGCUAGCUGACUUUGCCAGUUCUUCUGUAACUAUCAAUACUAAUCUCAACCAGAGCAUACUGGUAUUCCACAUGUUUACGCUCAGUCUCAGAACUAGAAAGCAAGUUACUAGUUCCACUGAAGGUCUUUAGUAUGUUCUCUAACCCCUGUUAGUGUGUACAACUACCUUCUCUAAGUAUUCACUGAAGAUGCCUUAAUAAAAAUCAGUUUAAACAAGCA
rnacentral:lncRNA from 1 species